rnacentral:rRNA from 1 species
CGGGACGGGUGAGUAAUGUAUGGGGAUCUGCCUGAUGGCGGGGGAUAAUACUGGAAACGGUAGCUAAUACCGCAUAAUGUCUACGGACCAAAGCGGGGGACCUCCGGGCCUCGCGCCAUCAGAUGAACCCAUAUGGGAUUAGCUAGUAGGUAAGGUAACGGCUUACCUAGGCGACGAUCCCUAGCUGGUCUGAGAGGAUGAUCAGCCACACUGGGACUGAGACACGGCCCAG